GGUGUUUUUGCAUGAGCAUUUCGACAGCGACUUGCACAUUCAGCUAACAGAUCACCAGCAAUGGAGACUUUCAUGAAGGGAUUUAACGCCAUGGACACAUCACAAAAAAUGUUGUAUGCUGUCGGAGGUGCUGCCAUAGCUGUGGUGU